GAAGGAUCAUUUCAUGUUCAAACUCCCUCAUGCCUGUCUCAUACAAUCCAACCAGAGACACAACCUCAUCGCGCUAGAAAUCUCCUCUGGCGGCGGCGGAGGUCCAAAUGACCUCCCAUAUACACCGACAUGAUCGUCUCCACUCCCUCUUCCUUAAUAUCAAACUGAUUUUUCUUAAUUCCUAAUAUAGAGCCUAAAUCGAACCCAACACCAUAUGAACCCUAAAAUGGAAAAUCAGAGAUUAAAAGGCAUGAAGGAGGAGUCAAAGCCUAUAGUGUUAGGGAUUUGAUUCCUCGAGUCUCAAGUUACAUCAUGGUAAUGCAAUCAAUUCAUUCUGGCAAAGAAAUCGAAGCACUCAUCGACGAGGCGGAUAAUUGCCCCAGAGUCGUAGGAGUUGACGAAGAAUGAAUAUGAAGAAUGGAAGAAGCUCAAUGCUACAGGGUUGAUAUGCAUGAAAUGAAGUGACCUUUGCAUGACAUGUAGAUUUGGCAAGGCAUGGAUCAAGAGGCUUUCAUGAAGAUACAUUGAUGACUUGAAGAUCUAUGAAGGAUUUUGGACAAAAGGGGGUGGCUACAGAGAAUAAUGAGAAUUAGGGUUCAAGAUAGGUAGUUGACUUUGGUCAACUGUUUGACCAAAAAGUCAACAGUUGACCAAAAGUUAACCUAGGUCAAAAUUAGGGUUUUCUUUGUGUAAUUUUGUAUGGACUUGAAAUGGAUGGUUGAAAUGUAAACUUGAUGAUUUGUAAUAAGAAAUAGCCUUUGAAAAGAAUUGUAA